rnacentral:rRNA from 1 species
CCUACGGGUGACUGCAGUGGGGGAUAUUGCACAAUGGGGGGAACCCUGAUGCAGCGACGCCGCGUGGGUGAAGGAGCGUUUCGGCGCAUAAAGCCCUAUCGGCAGGGACGAAGAUGACGGUACCUGGCCAAGAAGCCCCGUCUAACUACGUGCCAGCAGCCGCGGUAAUACGUAGGGGGCCAGCGUUAUCCGGAUUUACUGGGUGUAAAGGGGGCGCAGACGGCAAUGCAAGCCAGGAGUGAAAGCCCGGGGCCCAACCCCGGGACUGCUCGUGGAACUGCAUGGCUGGAGUACAGGAGGGGCAGGCGGAAUUCGUAGUGUAGCGGUGAAAUGCGUAGAUAUUAGGAGGAACACCGGUGGCGAAGGCGGACUGCUGGACUGUGACUGACGUUGAGGCCCGAAGGCGUGGGGAGCAAACAGGAUUAGAUACCCCAGUAGUC